AAUCAACGCUGGCGGCGUGCCUAACACAUGCAAGUCGAACGAGAAAGUGGAGCAAUCCAUGAGUAAAGUGGCGACCGGGUGAGUAACACGUGACUAACCUGCCCUAGAGUGGGGGAUAACCUCGGGAAACCGGGGCUAAUACCGCAUAACAUCACGAGGGGAAGAUCCUUGUGAUCAAAGGAGCAAUCCGCUCCAGGAGGGGGUCGCGGCUGAUUAGCCAGUUGGCGGGGUAACGGCCCACCAAAGCCAAGAUCAGUAGCCGGCCUGAGAGGGCGCACGGCCACACUGGAACUGAAACACGGUCCAGACUCCUACGGGAGGCAGCAGUGGGGAAUUUUGCGCAAUGGGGGAACCCCUGACGCAGCAACGCCGCGUGGAGGAUGAAGAUCUUCGGGUCGUAAACUCCUUUCGAUCGAGACGAACGGGCUUUGGGUUAAUACCCUGAGGCAGUGACGGUACCGAGAGAAGAAGCCCCGGCUAACUC
rnacentral:rRNA from 1 species